UGGGGAAUUUUGGACAAUGGGGGAAACCCUGAUCCAGCCAUCCCGCGUGUGCGAUGAAGGCCUUCGGGUUGUAAAGCACUUUUGGCAGGAAAGAAACGUCAUGGGUUAAUACCCCGUGAAACUGACGGUACCUGCAUAAUAAGCACCGGCUAACUACGUGCCAGCAGCCGCGGUAAUACGUAGGGUGCAAGCGUUAAUCGGAAUUACUGGGCGUAAAGCGUGCGCAGGCGGUUCGGAAAGAAAGAUGUGAAAUCCCAGAGCUCAACUUUGGAACUGCAUUUUUAACUACCGGGCUAGAGUGUGUCAGAGGGAGGUGGAAUUCCGCGUGUAGCAGUGAAAUGCGUAGAUAUGCGGAGGAACACCGAUGGCGAAGGCAGCCUCCUGGGAUAACACUGACGCUCAUGCACGAAAGCGUGGGGAGCAAACAGG
rnacentral:rRNA from 1 species